rnacentral:rRNA from 1 species
UACGGAGGGUGCAAGCGUUAUCCGGAUUCACUGGGUUUAAAGGGUGCGUAGGCGGAUUAGAAAGUCCGUUGUGAAAUCUCUGAGCUUAACUCGGAAAUUGCGGUGGAUACUAUUAGUCUUGAAUACUGUGGAGGUUAGCGGAAUAUGUCAUGUAGCGGUGAAAUGCUUAGAUAUGACAUAGAACACCAAUUGCGAAGGCAGCUUACUACGGAUCGAUUGACACUGAGGCACGAAAGCGUGGGGAUCAAACAGG